rnacentral:tRNA from 2 species
AGGGGCGUAGCUCAGUUGGUAGAGCACCGGUCUCCAAAACCGGGUGUCGCAGGUUCGAGUCCUGUCGCCCCUGCCA